GGGAUAGAUGAUUGGGGUGAAGUCGUAACAAGGUAGCCGUAUCGGAAGGUGCGGCUGGAUCACCUCCUUUCUAAGGAA
rnacentral:rRNA from 1 species